GAUGAAGAACGUAGCGAAAUGCGAUACGUAAUGUGAAUUGCAGAAUUCAGUGAAUCAUCGAGUCUUUGAACGCUCAUUGCCCCCCCUGGUAUUCCGGGGGGCAUGCCUGUCCGAGCGUCAUUGCUGCCCUCAAGCACGGCUUGUGUGUUGGGCCUCCGUCCUCCUCCCGGGGGACGGGCCCGAAAGGCAGCGGCGGCACCGCGUCCGGUCCUCGAGCGUAUGGGGCUUCGUCACCCGCUCUUGUAGGCCCGGCCGGCGCUUGCCGACACAUCAAUCUUUUUUCCAGGUUGACCUCGGAUCAGGUAGGGAUACCCGCUGAACUUAAGCAUAUCAAUAACGGAGGA
rnacentral:misc_RNA from 1 species